GAAAAAAAAAAGAAAGAAAAAAGAAAUAGAAAACCUGGAGUCUACUCCUCAUCACUUCUUUACCUUAAUGAAUUUGGGGCAAUUCACUUAAUCUCUGAGUCUCAAUUACCGAAGGCAGAAGGCUGGAUCUAAUCCUCUUUUAAGAGUAUCUUUCAAUGGUAAGAUCUUAGAAUUUUUCUUGGGAAAGUAGCUGUCUUCAUUUCAGGAAGCACCAUGAUAAGCCCCUAGGGCAUAAGGGCUGGCUAGGGCUCAGGCAACCAAAAAGAACCAAAAGGCUGCACUUGCAAAAGCAGGAAACUAAUUUUUCUUGGAAGUUGGUUUGGGGAGAAGGUGUGCCUUAUAGGGCAGAGGAUUGAGAAGAGGAGGGGAGGGCUAGGAUAUUGUUGGAGUAAGGGCCCUGCAUGCAGUAAAAGCCAGUAAGAAACCUCCAGUAGGGAAUGAUCAAAAGGAUGUUUAUGAACCAGGAAGGCUGAAAAGUGCUUUGUGGAGUAAUGGGCAAUGUGACCCUUCAUCAAGACCUCCACAUCUUAGUGAACUUGGGCACACUAAUGUUCUUUGUGAGUGGGGGCUUGUUGAAAGAGGACUAAGGGAUCAUAUAGGUUUGCUGGGGAACAGAGAUGGUUUCAGUAAAGCUGGACCUGGGAGGCAGGCGGGGCCUCUGAAACACCCUUGUGAAUUAUGGAAGGCUUAGUAUAAGAAGGCUUAUGGGCCUUCUCUGGGCACAGUGGGGCUCAAGCCCAUCUGAUCUAGAAAUGACAGAGCUCACUAGAGAUGAUGGAGCUUGCAGAGCCCAGCUGACAUUUGGGUACCCUGAUAAUGGAGGUCUCUAGGCUGCCCUCUGAACACCACUGCCAGCUUCAUCUUCAGUGUUUUUGUCCUCAGCAUCAGCGUCAAUGUAAAGGGGUGAUUUAAGAGUCUUGUAUGGUCACUUCUGUGUUUUGAUUAGAACAGGCAUUUUCCCUUAAUAUUUCUCCCUUCAGUAUGUUUCUUAAGCCCAUAUAUUAUUGUUCUUAAGUUGUUUUCUAGUAUGAACUCAUUUUGUCAUUUUUGUUUCUUUUCCUCUUUCUUAGAAAUGAAUUGGCAACAAUUCUGGUUUAUUUCCUAUUCCUCUCUUCCAUUUGUCAUUCAGAUUUUUCUUUACCUGGAAAUCUCUGAAGAUUAUUUACUUCCUUAGCCUUGCACUGUGCUUUCUAAAAGCACUAUUCUAUAGGACAUCAAUUUUUAGCAUAUUUUAUGAAAAUUAGAUCAUCUUUCAUAUCCAAAAAUAUUACUGCUUCCACUUUCAGUUUUUUAAAGAAAUUUAUAUUUAAGUGUUCCACAUUUGUUCUGUUCCGUGACAACUUCACAUUCACACCCUAAGUGAAAACAAUCACUUUGGAAUUUCAUCUAAAAGCAUUAAUGCCUUCUAAAGAUUAUGCUAGUGCAAGAAUAAAUUGUUAUAACCUUUCUGUCAAGCAAUUUGCCAAUAUAGUACUUGUCAGGAGCCUUCAAAAUAUUUAUACCCUUUGCUUCAGGGAUCACACUCUAGGAAUCUUUCCACUGGAAAUAAUCAGAAAUGGGUCAAAAAUUUAUGCAUGUUUAUUGCAACAGUAUUUAUUUGAAAUAGUGACAGAUUGAAGACAACCUGAAUGCCCAGCAAAAGGAAUAUAAACUGUGACAUCCAUAUGAGAAGAGUUGUGCAGCAAUUUAAGAAUUAUGCUUUUUCCUGAAUUGGCAGUCAGUUUGUUUUUUAAAAUUUUUAAUUUUUUGCUUUUUUAAAAAAAAUUACUCAGUGAAUUUAUUACAUUUAUAGUUGUACAAUGAUCAUCACAAUCCAAUUUUAUAGGAUUUCCAUCCCACAACCCCAGUACAUCCCCCAACCCCCCCAAACUAUCUCCUUUGGAAACCAUAAGUUUUUCAAAGUCUGUGAGUCAGUAUCUGUUCUGCAAAGAAGUUCAUCUUGUCCUUUUUUCAGACUCCACAUGUCAGUGAAAGCAUUUGAUGUUGGAUUUGAUGUUGGUGUCUCAUUGUCUGACUGACUUCACUUAGCAUGAUAAUUUCUAGGUCCAUCUAUGUAGCUAAAAAUGCCGUUAUUUCUUUCCUUUUAAUGGCUGAGUAAUAUUCCAAUAGUGUAUCUGUACUACAUCUUCUUGAUCCACUCCUCUGUUGAUGGACAUUUAGGCUGUUUCCAUGUCUUGGCUACUGCAAAUAGAGCUGCAGUGAACAUCGGAAUACAUGUGUCUUUUUGAGUCAUGGUUUUCUCUAGAUAGAUGCCCAGGAGUGGGAUUGCUGGAUCAAAUGGUAGUUCUAUUUUGAGUUUUCUGAGGAAUCUCCAUACUGUUUUCCACAGUGGUUGCACCAAUUUACAAUCCCACCAACAGUGUGCUAGGGUUCCUUUUUCCCCACACCCUCUCCAGCACUUAAUUGUUUGUAGAUGUUUUGAUGAUGGCCAUUCUGGCUGGUGUAAGGUGGUACCUCAUAGUGGUUUUAAUUUGCAUUUCUCUAAUGAUGAGUGAUGUUGAACAUCUUUUCAUGUGUUUUUUGGCCAUCCGUGUGUCUUCUUUGGAGAAUUGUCUGUUGAGAUCUUCUGGCAGUCAGUUUAUUUGGAUACCCAUCCUGAAUGGGGAAGGGUCUUACCCAGCGGCUGGCUCUAGGAGUUCUGUCUUUAUAAUUCUAGGGGCCUUCAGAAUCCAUAUUUUUACUGGGGUUUCCUUGUAAUUCUGACAUGAGCACAACCUGAAACACUCCCUCCUCCACCAUAACAGGGCCUGAACUUUCACAAGAAUUGAGGAGGAGAGUAAAAAUAAUUUGUUCUUUCAAGAAAUGUUUACAGUCUGGCAAAACACUAUUUUGAAGUUAGAAUUUUUUUUAAAACUUUGCAUUAUUCCAAAUUUGUGGGGUAAGUUAAUUAUAUGCUUAGAAAAAAAUUAACACAUCAAAAUAUUUACAGCGUUUAAUCUGGGUGAUGGAAUUGUGGAUGAUUUAUGGAGAAACCAUGGUUCAGAGAGGUGAGAUAAUUUUCUUAGGUUCUCAUAGCAGCAAAAUGCUGGAGUAAAGAUUCAAACCCAGGUCUAUUUGCCUGUAAAGUCUACUCUAAUAGCUGCUGAUUGUUACUUAAAUUGAAAAACCGUAUGUAAAAGAAACACAAAUAUUAUACCCUAGGUACAGUGGAUUGAAUUAUUGGUCCCAGUUAUUCACUGUCCUGUAGGAGUGUUCAUAUUCAUACCCUUGCUGUGGCCUUAUGAUGGAUAGGAUAUAGUCCAUGCACCUUGAUUUUGGGCUUAGACAUGUAUCUUGCUUUGGCCAAAGGUUGAGGGUGCAAAUAAUGAAAGGGAAGGUUUAAAAUGGGCAAGUACAUUUGGACUUUUCUCUUGAACUCCUGCCUUUUGCUAUAUGAAUUAUGUACUUUGGGGAAGUUCUGGUCCAAGGGUAAUGAUAAAUAGUGGACAGAUAGACCCGACCUGCUGCCAAAAGCUUAAAUUUCAGCCAAUAUGAAGAUACAUAGUGAAAAAUAAAUGACUAUUGUUUUAGGUCAUUGGGUUGUGGAUUAUUAUAUUUUAUGUAGAAUUAUUUUGGCUGAUUGAUAAUGAAACAUAUAAAUGUUUAUAUUAAGUAACAAAACUGAAUCUCUUGAUAUGUCAGUACAAGUCCAAACUUGGUUAUGCAAAUGUAGGCUCUACAGGUUCUGACCAUCUGGAAAAAGGGCAUAACAAAGCCUUUUAUUUAAUGCAAACUGCCUCAUCACUUGGUAUGAAAACUGUCUCCACAGGGGAGGGAGAAAUUCACAUAGAAAUGCGUGGCGCUCUGGGAAAAAAAGGAAAACAAGCUUCAAUGUCUAAGUUUGGGGUUGGGAAAAACAGUAGAUAUGGGCCAGGCCAGAGAAGGGAUGAACAAGAAUGAAAUGAAAUGAAAUAGGCUGGGGAGUUCCUAUUGUGGCUCAGUGGUAACAAAUCUGACUAGUAUCCAUGAGGAUGAGGGUUUGAUCCCUGGCCUGGCUCAGUGGGUUAAGGAUCCUGCAUUACCAUGAGCUGUGAUGUAGGUCCCCGACACGCCUCAGAUCCUGCAUUGCUGUGGCUGUAGGCUGGCAGCUGCAGCUCCAAUUGGACCCCUAGCCUGGGAACUUCCAUAUGCCACAGGUGUGGCGCU
rnacentral:lncRNA from 1 species